UGGACUUCGCCAUACCUUAAAUAUAUUCUGUCCUUCGCCACUGGGGCGAGGUGAAGGAGAAGCUGGUGGCAUUUCCUCCGCCACUGGGGCGAGGUGAAUAUGGAGAAGCCGGUGGCACUAUAUCAAGAGGCCGAGAUCAGAUGUGCACGAAACAGUUUUGAAGGAUUUUUGGUUGAACGGUUUCAUUGUUGAGAUUUUGAUGCGAUCUAGGGCAUGCAUUAACAAUCAAUCAAUCAUUGUAAACAUGCCAUCUUGUUCUGACACCAGUGUCAACAAGCACCGUCCUAGAUCAUAUCAAGUGCCAAUGAGAAGAUCCUGUCACCUAAUCUCAACAAGCACCGCCUGCUCCUUCGGUGUCUGCCUCUCCGACGACAUAUUCUUCACCUGUACCAUCGUGCCGUGGGUGAAGACAGCUCUCUGUCCUGCGACCAAACAAGGUGAGGCUUUGGUUUGAUUUUGUUCCCCCUGCUAUGGAUCAAUGAGCACCGGCCCACGAUGAGUGCUGUUGAAGAGAGGAACUUGGAAGACUUUUUUGUACGUCAAUUCAAUUUUGUGUAUUAGUGUAAUCUAAGGUCCUGCAAACUUCUCAUUAGUUCAUUUUGUUGAGUAAUAAAUUUAAUAGGAUAUUCUGUAUGCAUCUAUUUCCUUGUGGUAGUUUUUUCUAUUAUGUUUCCUAUCAGGACUGCUAAGAGAUACUGCUCGUAAUCUCAAUAAUAAUUGCCCAACCCCAUUUUUCA